UGAGCCCCCAUAAAGGAGAUUCAUAAUCCAAAGUUUUCUUGACAAAAGGUGACAGAGAGAAGUUGUCAUUUGAACUGGAGAAGCUUAGAAGUUUGGUUUUCACGGGUGACACAGCACUCUAUGGAAUAGUCUUGGUGAUGAAGAGGUCGCCAGCAAAAUAAACCACAGUCUGCAGCUCUCUGGACCAAAGAAGGUGCCUCUGUCCUUCGCAAACACAUGUGGCCUUUCCAAGAGCUGUGUGUGAUCCUCCUGCAAACCCGUCCUACUUCCGAGCCACAGCUGACCUUGGGAUCAGCAUGUUUGGAGAACUAUUGUCAUCAACUGCCUCUGGGUGGACAAAUGAGGAGAAAAAAAAUAAAAGAAACUCUAGUCAAAAUCAGUGAAUACAUAACCCGGUUGACAUCACCGUGCCCAACACUACUAUUAAAAUGAAACCAGAAAACUCCGGGAAGGCCGAUACAAGAGCAGAGGCUCCAAAGAAAAGAGGAAAACUUGUUUGCAAAAGGUGAAGUAAUGAGACAGCAAGGCACCAGGACACACGUGGAAACCCAGGAGAAGCCGGUCAUCUCCUCCCGCAAGUGGCUUCAACAUGCAGGGGAGAACUGGCCUGAGAGUGUGAGACCCAACACGGGGCCGCUGGGCCCAGAUCCCCCGGUGAUUUAGGCAAGUGGCUUCCCGGCUUGGUUUUCAUUUCCCCAGCCACGAAAUUAAGGGUUGGAUAUGAGAACGCUUUUCAUCCGACCCCAUUCCUCUACCUCUGUUCAUUUGUGCUCACCACCCACCGAGCUGGUUCUGCAUUCAGAUAACGGAGUUGUCUUAAAAAAGACAGGCAUGGGAAUGAGAUGGCAUUAGCUGACCUCAUGUAGCACCCGCAAGGUGCCCAGAAAGAAUGUGCCAAGAGACCAAGCACGGCUACCACCAGGGACCACCCCACCGUUCACUCCUUCACUCACACACGCGUGCACUCCGCAAACUACUCCUGAGGGACAGCCAAGAGCCACAGAUGUCCCUAGGCCCCGGGGGCACCUCCAUGAACCAAGAGGAAGGUCGCUAUCCUUCUGGAUCCUACAGUCACAGUCGCAGGAGGAGGCAGACGUUCAUCCAAUAAUCACACAAAAGGAUGUGAAAUGACAACUGUGAUGAGAGCCCCAGUUCCCUCAUGGAGUGAGAUGAGGCAACACCAUCAAUUGCUCUGACAAUGUCAAUUUCUCUGGCAUACCACCCUGUCUUGUGCAGCAGUGGGGAUGCUGGGGACCAGGUAGGAAGGACAGGACACAUCUACCUGGCCCACAGAGAAACCCAGUUACAUUAGCCUCAUUGUUCUUGUCAUCCACCUCUCUAGGCCCCAGAAUCCUGGAGAGAAGGAACGAAGAUCAUUAAAACUCAGGAUUACCUGAGUGGGGUAGGGGGACUGUAGCCAUAGAUGCCUUUGCAUGCCUUUAGCAGGAGAAACAGACAUAGGAGAAACAGGCUACCAUGAAGAAUAAAUAAGGUAGUGAAACUGCAGCACUAAGCAGUGUGCCUGGCACCUGGAAGCUGCCUAAUAAAAGUGGCUGGUGUUGCUUUCAUGUUCUUUAGUGUCCUAGUUAUGCUUGAGCUUAAGCCCUCAGUGAAGAGAUCUACAUCCCUCAGAGAGAAAAGAAUUGCAGUGAAGGCUACAGGGGACCAAACACCCCAGGGAGAGGGUGCAGGGCAAGGAGCCAAGCAGACUGGGCAAAAAUUUGGCACUGCAGAUCCAGGAAAGGAUAAGCCAGAACUGAUUCUCAUCUCCUCUUCUAUCCGAUACUUUAGAGCAAUUUAAAAAGUGUUAUCUGACAAUAUAGAAAGGAGAACAUUAGAGUGGCCAUGUUGAAGAAUGUUAAGAAAUUAUUGUUUUACAACAGAUUAUCCAGUCCUGACUUGGUGGAAUCAGGACUUCUGUCUUUAUUUGUAAAAGUCCACCACCAACAGUGAGCAUUGCCUUCUAGACCCAAUAGCCUGUGGAUACUGGAGAGGGAGGGGUGCCUGUCUGCUGGGAUGCCACAGUGACCACGGUGAUGUAGAUUCUCUCUCCACUGGGCUUGCCCAAUACGUUUCACGGGACGCCUCCCCUAAUCUCUUGACCUGCCUCUAGUUCCUCAUGGAGGUGGAGACCUGCCUUGAAACUCAGGCCACUGCGAGCCUUGUCAUCAGGAAAGCAGGGUUUUGAAAUUUCAUCUGCUAAUCCAUGAAAAACAAUACAAGACACUGGGUCUGGAUACUAGCAAGCCCCUGUUUAAAUUCCUCUCUGACACUUACCAGCUGAGGACCUUGGGCAAGUCAGUCACUAAGCACCGGAAGCCUUACUUUCCUUAUCUAUAAAAGGAAAAUAAUAAGAUCUACGUCAUGGAGUUAUUGUGAGAACGAGAUGAGAUGAUGCCUCUAAAUAGCUUUUGUUUGUUUGUUUCUACUCCACCUUUUUCCAGAGUAGGGGUGUGUGUGUGUGUGUGUGUGUGUGUAUGUUGAACAGGGUGGAUAGAAGGAAAAAAGGGAUGGAUAAAUAAAGCCUAAUCAGGCAUCCCAUAAUGACACAGAGGAGGCCACCAACACAGCUCUCAUUCCAACAGCCACCCCUCACAAUGUCUCUAAGUCAAGGGUGUUCAGCGCAGUGCUACAUUUCUCAUUUCUUAAAAAAAUUGUAAACAUAUUGUAGUCAGUGCCUCAUGAUCAAAAUGGAAUUCAAACCAUCUCUAGUAAUGGUGAUUUAAGGCUUAUUAAUCACUGUAAAUUAUUUUGACACCCCAGUGAAAAGUCCUCUGUGAUGCUUUUAGAAUCCCAUUUUCAUUUAACAUUAAUUAAAGGCCGCCAACCGUAAAGUAUUAAUAAAAUCAAAUUCCCUAAAGGAGCUCCCAGCUGACAGGCUUCAGCUCUGGGCGAGUUGCGGGACCUUGAGCAAAACACAGGCCAUAAUGAAAUUUUAACCAUAGAAAUGUAAUCAGCAUGACCAUGAUAAAGAGAGGGCAUUUCUUGGGAAGAUAAUAGAUACUUUCAAUAAUAAAUUUUAUGAUCCUCAUUAGCCUACCUCCAGCAGUUUAUGGAUACUAUGGCUAUUUAGCAAAAGACUUUCAAGUCAAACAACCUUACUAACACGCUUUAUUAUUGUUUCAUGGCUCUACUGAUUAUCCUACAAACAUCAGGCCCAAAACAUAUAUUGGUGGCAGGGAAAUUGGCCCUGGUGGUGUCAGAGCAGAAGAAUGUGAGGCUAAGACCAAGGACAGAACCUGGAUGAUAUUCAGAAAACAGACAGAAGGGUUUACGUCACUCUCACAGAGUUUACAUCCCUAAAAAGUAAAGGCAGCCCACCAACUUCCAUCUUUAAGAAAGAGUGAAUGUCAAUUGUUAUGGCAUUUCUUUAAUCUUGUCUUGUUGUGAUUGACUGGUUCCUCACAACACCCAGCCCAGCAGCUUGGCUCCUUGUGAAUGGAUAGAAAAUGGAGUUUGUCUCCUUUGGCACCUCCAUUUCCAAGGCCGAACCAUAAAGCCACUGUGGCAACAUUCAUGGAGCUGAGCAAAAAGCCCUGGGAGGAUAUGUACAAACACAGUCUGGUGCACGUGCUCAAAUCCGGCAUUCUAUCCUCCUACAAAGACCUGAAAGCGUUUGCCAUAUUGCCUUUCCCCUCCUCUCCUUGAACAACUGAAUGGAACCAAGAAAUUUUUAAUCUAUUUUUCAGAAACUAAAAGUCAUGACUGUACAUCUUAAAUACUUUUUGCUUUAGCCCAUUUUCAUCUGAAAUCCUAAUGACUUUACUGAGAAGUUGUAAUUAAUAAAGCUAUUAGCCCAGAUUCUGAUCUCGACUCUAAAUCCUAGGGCUUUUGUUAUCAUGGAGACAGGGCUUUCAGAUGCGAGGAAAUAU